rnacentral:rRNA from 1 species
AUGAAAGCUCUGUUCUGGAAUAUUCGUGGUUUCGGUGCUAGGGGGCGCCGUGACCAGAUUCGUGACUUGGUUUGUGGUGAACAUAUUGACAUUUUAGGGCUGGUCGAAAUGUUCAAGGAAUCCUUUUCCCCGUCUGAACUAUCUACGAUAGCUGGGAUGGAUAGGUUUGAUUGGCACCUUCUCCCCGCCUCGGGCCACUCUGGGGGAAUCUUGAUUGGGUCCAGGCGGGACGUUUUUGAUUUCAUUACUUUUGAUCAUGGCAUCUUUUGGGCUAGCUGUGUGGUUCAUCAUCGUCAGCUCAACACUUUGUGGGAAUUUAUGGUGGUAUAUGGCCCUGCGGAUCACAUGCUUGCUCCUCUCUUUUUGGACGAACUAUCGACUAAGAUUGAAACUUGUUCUAUUCCUCUUCUAAUUGGGGGCGAUUUCAAUUUGCUAUGUUCUCCGGCCGACAAGAACAAUCCUAAUUUCUCCUGGCCUCUCGCCAAUGCUUUUAAUGAUUUCAUCAGUAACUACGCGCUGCGUGAGCUCCCUAGGGUGGGGGCGCGUUUCACCUGGUCUAACCAUCAAUCCUCGCCUGUCCGGUCGGUGUUGGACAAGGUUUUCGUUUCUGUGCAGUGGGACUCGCUAUUUCCGCGCGCGUUGCUUAAGGCUAGGCCUGCGGUGGGCUCUGAUCAUGUUCCCCUGAUCCUGGAUGCGGGUAUCCUUUCUCUUGUUUCUCCCUCCCGUUUCCAGUUUGAUGCUUCCUGGCUUGUUGUGGAGGGUUUUUGUGACAUGGUGGCUUCUAAUAUCACUAAUUUUCUCUCCUCUACUCACCGCUCCUUUGGCCCCUUGGAUGAUUGGCACAAGCUAUCUUCUGAGUUGUGUAAAUUCUUAAGGGGGUGGUCUCGGAACAGGGCGGCCGAGUUGCGUAGAGACAAGGAGUCCCUCGAAUCUCAAAUCCGGGAGUUGGAUUUAUCUGCUGACACAUCUGGGCUUUCACCUUCUUAG